AGCUCAGGUCUUCUAACGAACAGUGUA
rnacentral:piRNA from 1 species